AUAAAUAUCAUACCUGAAUGAAAUUUGGCCGCCAUCUUGAACCGGUAUUCUACUCCUCUUUGAGCGAGGAAGAAUACGAUGGCAGAGUAUUCUGCUGCUUAUUCUUGCACAAAUCGGCGGACCGUGGAAAACCGGUUGCGGGGGAUUACGUUUCACAAGUCCUGGAUGCUUCUAGAUAUGAUGUAUUACACAACAUCAAUGUUAUGGAUGUGUGCAGGUAAUUUUACGUGAUCGGAUUUGUCAUCAAUAUGGACACACGGAUGCUGAUGAUUCCAGAACUGCUCAAAGUUCAUCGCUAUGUGCUCACCUACAGGUUCAUCCAGGAUUCCUUGGAGCUCCUAUUUUAUUCAAACAGAAAGGGGGAAAACACGGUACUCGUAAAUGGCACGUACAACAACAACAACAACAAAGCAACAAACAUUAAUGUAGACGCGAAAAUAAAUCAUGAAAUACAACCUUUACUGAGCAAAAACAAUGCACUUGAUACCAAUUUCCAUGAACCAGCCACACACAAAGAAGUGCAUGUGUUUCGUCUUGUAGAAUGAUGUGUGGAGCACCAGAUAGUUUAACAUGUCUGAGAACGCGACUGGAGCAUAAUCCUUGAAAUACCUUGAGAAAUCUUAUUUUGAUAAUGUAAAGGGAUACCGUAUAUACUAUUGCAUAGUUUGCAUUUUUUGCUCGUAUCGGCUUUUAGUGGUAAGAUCUAGGCCCCUUGCGUACUCAGAUAGGUCCCACCCUGUUUGCUGCACAGUAGCCAUGUUGAUUUGGUGGCCCACCACUUCGUUCACCUCUGUUCAAAAGUCACGUGUCCGAAUACAACCGAUACGCAGCACAAUCCCCUGGCAUUGUGUUCUUUCUGCUGCUCAAAGAGGAGUAGAAGCUGGUUGGGUAUGGACGAGAGGGGGUUGUAGCCAAUUCUGUGGUCUGUCCUGGGACCAGUGGUCCCUACCACUCGGGGCGCUAAUGAGACUGGUCACAACCAGUGGCACAGCUGUGGUCCCUAUUGACUUUGAAUGGGCCUUACUAUUUGCUUUCUUUUCUGGACAUUUUGGCCGCUAUUUUAGCUGGAUAAACUUCAGAGAUCAUAUUAUAUUUCCUCACCUGCACAUUACACCAUAAUUACUGUGAUUACUUGUUAAUAUUAUUGAAUUGCAGAUCAAAUAGUUGUUGUCUGGCAGAGACCAGUGGUCCCUACCACUAGGGGUGCUAGUGAGACUGGUCGUGACCAGUGGCACAGCUGUGGUCCCUAUUGACUUUGGAUGAGUUUACUAUUUUCCCCUUUUCUUGACAUUUUGGAAGCUUUAUUUGCUGGAUAAAUGUCAGUUAUCAUUAUAUGUUGCCUCUACUGCACACUAGAUUAUAUUUACUAUGAUUAUGUGUAAAUAUUAUUGAAUUGCAGAUUGAAUCGAGUUGCUGUCUGGGAAACACCAGUGGCCCCUACCACUAGGGGUGCUAACGAGACUGGUCCUGAUGCUGGUCUAGUCUGUGUGGUGCAGAAACAACGGCUGCAAUACCCCUGACAACCAGCACCACUCAAUCAAAUCAAAGCGACCGAUAAAAACUGUGAUUGACAACCACACGCCAACAGGACCAUUGAGACCAGCUCGCCAGUCAGCCUAAACGCCAACACACAAACAAGAGACAUAACCACCCCCCCCCCCCCCCCCACUUAAAGACUCCACUUACCAAUCCAAACCCGGACAAACACACACACUGCCCAAACAACCGAGACAACCAAGAACUACGGACAGGAGGCCGCCCCCCUCCCACAGCCCAUGACCCCGCAGGCGCUACACACCAGUCUAACAUGAAGUCACGCGAGUCCGCCCCCUGUCAAACAGAGCCAGCGCCCGCCCUAACCCAACUCAGCGCAGUCCACACCAGGAACCCCACGCAAAAAAAAUAUAGUCACUUAAUGCGGGACCUGACAGAUAGUGUUCCUACAGGUAACAUUGCCCCGGGGAGGAGUUUAAUGAAACAGUCAUAAGAAUGAUGUGGGUGAAUGGUCGUUACUAAACACCUGUUAGAGGUCAUGAUAUUUGGCAGGUACCCCCCAACAGACGAAUGUUCUCACUAACAUGGCUAGGCGUGGCUGUCGAGGGAACAGCGUAACACAAACAAUUAGCUUGGCAAAUGGUGCUCCAAUUCAAGGGUAAUCCUAUCUCAAUCAAUAGUGGUAAGAUGCAGUUUAAGUCAUGAGAGACCAAUACAAUGGGUGUUGACUGACAUGGAAAAGUAAAGAAGCGUAUCGCCUCAUGGUAAUGACCCAAUAGCUGUAAAGCUAAAGUCUCAGUUUGGUGCGUCACCCUCGCAAAUAAACAGCCAUCUAAAGAUUGAACCUCCUCGGGAGCAAAUUUUAAUUUCAGCAAUCUUAUGCAGAGCCACAAAGUUCGAGUCCAUGAAGCAGUUGUCUCCCCGUGAGUAAAUAAAUGCAACAAUCGUUGACACUGCUUCCUACCUGACUAAGUUCCUGAAAGUUCAAGUCUCUUUCCAGGUCUAGGUCCCUGAGGGUACUCACACAGUCCAUUAGUAGAAAGCUGUUUGUUGAUCCCCGCAGGAGGAGAAGGAGGGGGGUCUGUUUCAGAUUACGAAGGUAGCAGUUGGAAAUGUGGUGGUGCAGACUUCCACAGUAACGGCCGAGGGCGUAAUCUUCGCCAACGAGCUCGCUCAGCUGUGGUGACUUGUACCCCGAGCUGCAUUGGAACCUCAGUAGCGUCGUUAGGCUGACAUGGUGGUUAUGGCAGGAACGUUCACUGGGUCGAUUCCUGCCGCUGUCAGUAUCACUCCCUUAGGUGAAUAGGUAACAGCUAUAUGUCUUAGCGUCUUCUCAAUCGCCCUCGCGAAUUCUGUCAUCAGAACGAAUGGCUAAGUCAAUGAGGGUGUCAAGAGUGGCAGUUUUGCAAGUUUGUUAUUGAUGUGACGAUUAUAUCCCUUGCAAAAAAUGCUGCAUACAGCAGUGUCACCAAAUCCUCUUUCUGCAGCUGGAAUACGGAAGUCUUUGGAGUAUGCGGCCACAGAGAGCUUGCCUUGCUUAAAGUCCAGCAAUCUGCUUCUCUGCCUUUUAGGAGGUGAUAAAUCACCUUCAUCAUUUCUUCCAUAAACAAGAGCAGUGACGUGCGCACACAGGAGCAUUUUUACUAACCACCAUAGACUGACACCGAGCAGCGAUAUGCGCAGCUGGAGAAAGAGGUAACAGCGCUGAUAUGGGGCUGUGAGAGCGAUUUCAUCCUGGGCCUACACUUUGAACUGGAAACCGACCAUAAGACGAUUGUCAGCCUACUGGGUGGGCAGGCACUGGAUGCGCUGCCACCUAGAAUACAUAGAUUCAGGGUGCACUUAAUGAGUACGACAAGAACAUACACCGACCUGAUGGAAGACACCAACAUCUACAUUGACUCUGUGAUUGACAGUCUUCUUACAAGUGACAAGUAUCAAACCGAGCUCCAAGAACAGCUUUGUGCCGACAGUUGAGGGCUGGCCAGACAGAAAUCAGUUACAGGGCCCAGUCAAACACUACUGCCAGGAGAGGGCAAACCUGAGUGUGUACAACGGUCUGCUCUUGUGUGGCAUACGGUUAGUGAUUACUGGGAACAUGAGGAAUGAUGUCCUGGACAAGACACAUGAGGGGCACCAGGGGGUGUCUAAGUGCAGAAAGCGUGCGAGCCAGACAGUGUGGUGGCCUGGACUGAGCAGCCAAAUAAAAGAGCUAGUGCUCAACUGCAGAGAAUGCAUCAGAGAAAGGGUUAAUCCAAGAGAACCUCUGCUGUAGACCGAAUUCCCAGAUGGGCCCUGGCAAAAGUUAGGAGCUGAUCUAAUCACCUUGAGAAAGAAAACCUACCUGUAAGUGGACUAUUUUUCCAGAUAUAUGGCAAUAGCACAACUCAGCCCAACUAGGUCCACAUAUGUUAUAGUGUUCUUGUGUCACGGUGGCGGUGCCUUUACACCAAAUUACCUAUCCUUCCGGAGAAGUUACAGCCAGCUGUGCCAGACAUGCCAGAUUUUCUAGCGCAAGGAGCAGGAGAAGCAACUGAUGGAUGCGAAGUGCUUCAAUGAGAGACACAGAGAUCUGACAAAGUUGACACCUGGAGAUCAGGUUUGGAUUAUUGACACAGAGGCACAAGGGUCAGUGACUUCUGUGCAGCCCAGCCCACGUUCCUAUCAGGUGUGUGGGCCGCAAGGAACCUUGCGAAGGGAUCGUCAACAUUUUGUGCAUAUGCCGGAGCCUCAGGAUGAAAACCCACCCGAGCAGGGUGACAAUCUCCCAUGCACAGGCUCAAGAACUCUGCCCCCCACCAAAACCUUCUCUGAACACACCUUGUGGUGUGAGGACGAGGUCGGGCAGAGAAGUUAAAAAAAACCAAAGAGACUAGACCUGUAAAAAGAAAGAAAGUGUCAUUUGAGGGGAGAAAUGUGAUUUUGGAAAAAUUAUUUGCGAACAUUGGAAUACAACUUGGUAGAGAAUUUAGUUCAUGUUAUAAAAGAUUCUGAAUGUGAUUUGAAUAUGUCUAAUUGUAGAACAUUAUUUGAUGAGAAGGAACAGUUCAUGGUACAGUGAUUCUCAAUGUUUAGAUAAGAGGAUUAAUAGAAGUGAAAGUUAAUUGAAAGGAUGUUACCGCUAAAGAUAUUUUCGAACUAGAAAGGGGGAUGUGGUGUAUUGUUGUUAGCACCUGGGGUUGAACGGGUUUACGUUAUGCGUCACACUAUCAUGGGGCACAGAGGAACCAUUAAUGGGUGAGCCCGGAAGUGGGAAAGAAGAGAGUACUGCACGUUGUUGAAGAAUGAAGUAAAACGUUUUCUUUGCCUCCAAAUGAAAACACGACAUAGUUAUUACUUUUUAAGUUAUACUAAUUCCUAUCAAUAAAGUAUACAUAUCUAUUGUUUAAGUGUUUUGGA